rnacentral:rRNA from 1 species
UACGGAGGGUGCAAGCGUUAAUCGGAAUUACUGGGCGUAAAGAGUGCGUAGGUGGUUGUAUAAGUUAUUUGUGAAAGCCCUGGGCUCAACCUAGGAAUGCCAAGUAAUACUGUACGACUCGAGUAUAGGAGAGGGUAGUGGAAUUUCCGGUGUAGCGGUGAAAUGCGUAGAGAUCGGAAGGAACACCAGUGGCGAAGGCGACUACCUGGCCAGAUACUGACACUGAGGCACGAAAGCGUGGGGAGCAAACAGG